rnacentral:rRNA from 1 species
GACGAACGCUGGCGGCGUGCUUAACACAUGCAAGUCGAACGGAAAGGCCCUGCUUUUGUGGGGUGCUCGAGUGGCGAGCGGGUGAGUAACACGUGAGUAACCUGCCCCUGACUUUGGGAUAACUUCAGGAAACUGGGGCUAAUACCGGAUAGGAGCUCCUGCUGCAUGGUGGGGGUUGGAAAGUUUCGGCGGUUGGGGAUGGACUCGCGGCUUAUCAGCUUGUUGGUGGGGUAGUGGCUUACCAAGGCUUUGACGGGUAGCCGGCCUGAGAGGGUGACCGGCCACAUUGGGACUGAGAUACGGCCCAGACUCCUACGGGAGGCAGCAGUGGGGAAUAUUGCACAAUGGGCGGAAGCCUGAUGCGGCAACGCCGCGUGCGGGAUGACGGCCUUCGGGUUGUAAACCGCUUUCGCCUGUGACGAAGCGUGAGUGACGGUAAUGGGUAAAGAAGCACCGGCUAACUACGUG